AAUAGAUACCCCGGAGUCCAUACCGUAAACGAUGAAUGCUAAGUGUUGGAGGGUUUCCGCCCUUCAGUGCUGCAGCUAACGCAUUAAGCAUUCCGCCUGGGGAGUACGGCCGCAAGGCUGAAACUCAAAGGAAUUGACGGGGGCCCGCACAAGCGGUGGAGCAUGUGGUUUAAUUCGAAGCUACGCGAAGAACCCUACCAGGUCUUGACAUACUAUGCAAAUCUAAGAGAUUAGACGUUCCCUUCGGGGACAUGGAUACAGGUGGUGCAUGGUUGUCGUCAGCUCGUGUCGUGAGAUGUUGGGUUAAGUCCCGCAACGAGCGCAACCCUUAUUAUCAGUUGCCAGCAUUAAGUUGGGCACUCUGGUGAGACUGCCGGUGACAAACCGGAGGAAGGUGGGGAUGACGUCAAAUCAUCAUGCCCCUUAUGACCUGGGCUACACACGUGCUACAAUGGAUGGUACAACGAGUUGCGAACUCGCGAGAGUAAGCUAAUCUCUUAAAGCCAUUCUCAGUUCGGAUUGGUA
rnacentral:rRNA from 1 species